rnacentral:rRNA from 1 species
UAGGGAAUCUUCGGCAAUGGACGAAAGUACUGACCGAGCAACGCCGCGUGAGUGAAGAAGGUUUUCGGAUCGUAAAACUCUGUUGUUAGAGAAGAACAAGGGUGAGAGUAACUGUUCACCCCUUGACGGUAUCUAACCAGAAAGCCACGGCUAACUACGUGCAG